CGGUGACGCCGCCGCAAAACCAGCCACCGAUGUCAUUUUUUGUUGUUGUGUUUCUGCUCUAUUUAGAGGCCACAUACACACGCACACACAUGCAGAACGAAGACACAGAGAGCGAAAGAGAAACGAACACCAACGCACAGGCAAAGCCAGAGACGCAAACACACAAAUCAGAAAUCAAAAGGCAGCCACAGCAACCCGCGCGCGUCUGCUUGUGGCAGGAGUCGUAAAUGCGAUAUUUUGUGAUAUUUUUUGACCCGCGAAAGACUAUAAAACGAGGGAAAUAAUGCAAAAAACGACUUCAAUCAAACAGAAAUUCGUGCGCGCACAGCGCGAAACGAGAUCGAAAUGAGAGCCAGUGCGCGAGUGACAGGGACAACAGCACCGAGCAGUGCGUAUCGCUCCUCGUCGGAGCCGAAGGUUGAGGUAAGGUGGAGUAAUAACAAGAAACACAAGCGAAAGGUGGAUAAAAAGAUAAACUACGAAAAUACCCCACGCGAGCGUGAGAGAGCGAGAGAGCAAGAUAAGUACCGCAAGAAUGCAAGCUGCGCUCAGCUGCUGCUACUGCGUCUGCUGCG